rnacentral:lncRNA from 1 species
UCGGUUCAGGAUGAUCGGCUCGGAGUGCAUGCAGGCGUUGCAUUUCGUCAGGUAAGUGCGUGUGACUCAUAUAUACCAUUAUACCAAGUUGCAUGUUUUUGUACUCUCUCUGACGAUAAUGCAUUCAUAAAACACAUGCAGCAAUGCUGAUUACAUAUUAGUUAAUGGCUCUAUAAGGAUGCGUGAUUCCCUCGCGCACAUACGUGUUUACUCUAUGAGGUGUGUGACAGAGAAAUCUAUUUAUGGUUUUCCGUCAGUACUUGGUGAUUUUUAUUUUUUAUUUCUUUGCGAUGAGUACUUGGUGAUUUUACAGUAUUGUUACAAAGUACAACGACAUCACCCAGCACUACCUCACCUCCACUGCAUAUAUGUUUACUUGGAUCUUCAGAAAAGGGCAAGACCACCCACCCCCACCCCCAGUUUUUUGGUGCGUUUUUUGUAAGUAAGCGUGCGAUGUAUUUUUAUUUUGUUGACAGACUUACUCUUGUAAACUGCACAAAGACAGGCAGACGGAUAUACGCAGGAGAGACUUGGCCGUACGGUACAGGGCUAAUCAUCUCCUGCCCAGGAGCAAUCAUCUCCUGCUCCAAACAGCCCCGACGUGCUGCUGAGUGUUCUACCAUCCAGGAAUUGUGUGGGUUUUUGUUUCGACUCGCUUCCAAAAUAUAGUUUUGAUUCCUAUUUAUUCUGUCCCUUUUGGAUGACUGUCCUGAAAUUGAACAGUGAGUUGGAGAAUGCCGCUUCUUUCACUCUGAUUCAAUCUUGAACGGGUGCUGAUGCAGAUCAACUGAGGUAUGGAAAUCACUGCCGCAUUUUGCAGCAGUUGAUGCAUCUUGCAUCUUGCAUGUUCUGCCCACUCCGAGCCGAUCAUCCUGCAUGCACUGGUCGAAGCUGGAGUUCGGUUCAGAAGUUGGAGGUCGUGUAACUCGAUUGGUGCUCCCCCAGUGCAGCUCAUAAAAAUUUCUCUGUUUAGAUAUGCAGUGUAGAGCAUAGUUGACCGGGGAUGCUCAAGUGUAGUUUGUCUCUUUUUUCUUGAAGUAUUGUGUAGUUUGUCACUUGUGCCGUGCAGGUUUCCUUUGUCUAUGUGGAUCACUUUGUGAAAAAAUUUGUACCAAGGAGUUCACGUUUUAUUGUUUUUGGAGGAGUUGUUUUUGCAAUAUUGCAUGGACUAGUUCAUAAUCUGUUAAAAAACGAUGCCCUUCACACAGAAAACCUUGUCGGUGCACUUUGCAAAACAAAAAGGAGUUCACUAUGUAAAAAAACUUUGCAAAACAAAGGAGUUCACUAUGUAAAAAAACUUUGCAAAAACAAAGGAGUUCACUAUGUAAAAAAUUGUAUAGAGGAGUUCACUUUUUAUUAUUUUUGGAGGAAUUGUUUUUUCUGAAUUUGUAAGGACAUGGCGUAUAAUUUGUUAAAAUCGAUGCAACUCACUAAGAAAACCUUUG